rnacentral:rRNA from 1 species
GAUGAACGCUAGCGACAGGCCUAACACAUGCAAGUCAGGGGGUAACGAAGUAGCUUGCUACUAGACGACGACCGGCGCACGGGUGAGUAACGCGUAUGCAACCUGCCUUGUACAGGGGGAUAGCCCGGAGAAAUCCGGAUUAAUACCGCAUAAUAUGAUUGAUUCGCAUGAAUUAAUUAUUAAACCUACGGGGGUACAAGAUGGGCAUGCGUAACAUUAGCUAGUUGGUAAGGUAACGGCUUACCAAGGCAAUGAUGUUUAGGGGGUCUGAGAGGAUAGUCCCCCACACUGGUACUGAGACACGGACCAGACUCCUACGGGAGGCAGCAGUGAGGAAUAUUGGUCAAUGGGCGCAAGCCUGAACCAGCCAUGUCGCGUGCAGGAUGACGGCCCUAUGGGUUGUAAACUGCUUUUUUACGGGAAUAAUGUCAUCUACGUGUAGGUGUUUGAAGGUACCGUAUGAAUAAGGAUCGGCUAACUCCGUG